rnacentral:rRNA from 1 species
GCGGGGGGGGGUGCUAUACAUGCAAGUCGAACGCUUUGUGGUUCAACUGAUUUGAAGAGCUUGCUCAGAUAUGACGAUGGACAUUGCAAAGAGUGGCGAACGGGUGAGUAACACGUGGGAAACCUACCUCUUAGCAGGGGAUAACAUUUGGAAACAGAUGCUAAUACCGUAUAACAAUGACAACCGCAUGGUUGUUAUUUAAAAGAUGGUUCUGCUAUCACUAAGAGAUGGUCCCGCGGUGCAUUAGCUAGUUGGUAAGGUAAUGGCUUACCAAGGCGAUGAUGCAUAGCCGAGUUGAGAGACUGAUCGGCCACAAUGGGACUGAGACACGGCCCAUACUCCUACGGGAGGCAGCAGUAGGGAAUCUUCCACAAUGGGCGAAAGCCUGAUGGAGCAACGCCGCGUGUGUGAUGAAGGGUUUCGGCUCGUAAAACACUGUUGUAAGAGAAGAAUGACAUUGAGAGUAACUGUUCAAUGUGUGACGGUAUCUUACCAGAAAGGAACGGCUAAAUACGUGCCAGCAGCCGCGGUAAUACGUAUGUUCCAAGCGUUAUCCGGAUUUAUUGGGCGUAAAGCGAGCGCAGACGGUUAUUUAAGUCUGAAGUGAAAGCCCUCAGCUCAACUGAGGAAUUGCUUUGGAAACUGGAUGACUUGAGUGCAGUAGAGGAAAGUGGAACUCCAUGUGUAGCGGUGAAAUGCGUAGAUAUAUGGAAGAACACCAGUGGCGAAGGCGGCUUUCUGGACUGUAACUGACGUUGAGGCUCGAAAGUGUGGGUAGCAAACAGGAUUAGAUACCCUGGUAGUCCACACCGUAAACGAUGAGUGCUAGGUGUUUGAGGGUUUCCGCCCUUAAGUGCCGCAGCUAACGCAUUAAGCACUCCGCCUGGGGAGUACGACCGCAAGGUUGAAACUCAAAGGAAUUGACGGGGACCCGCACAAGCGGUGGAGCAUGUGGUUUAAUUCGAAGCAACGCGAAGAACCUUACCAGGUCUUGACAUCCCUUGACAACUCCAGAGAUGGAGCGUUCCCUUCGGGGACAAGGUGACAGGUGGUGCAUGGUUGUCGUCAGCUCGUGUCGUGAGAUGUUGGGUUAAGUCCCGCAACGAGCGCAACCCUUAUUACUAGUUGCCAGCAUUCAGUUGGGCACUCUAGUGAGACUGCCGGUGACAAACCGGAGGAAGGUGGGGAUGACGUCAAAUCAUCAUGCCCCUUAUGACCUGGGCUACACACGUGCUACAAUGGCGUAUACAACGAGUUGCCAACCCGCGAGGGUGAGCUAAUCUCUUAAAGUACGUCUCAGUUCGGAUUGUAGGCUGCAACUCGCCUACAUGAAGUCGGAAUCGCUAGUAAUCGCGGAUCAGCACGCCGCGGUGAAUACGUUCCCGGGUCUUGUACACACCGCCCGUCACACCAUGAGAGUUUGUAACACCCAAAGCCGGUGGGGUAACCUUCGGGAGCCAGCCGUCUAAGGGGGAACAAAAU